UGCAUCGGUCAAAAAACACAAGCAAACCAAAUAAAAUAUAAAUCACAUAUCUAACAUAAACACUUCUACUGAAACGCACUGUUUAGAUAUGAAAGCGG
rnacentral:lncRNA from 1 species